rnacentral:rRNA from 1 species
AUUGAACGCUGGCGGCAUGCCUUACACAUGCAAGUCGAACGGUAACAGGUCUUCGGAUGCUGACGAGUGGCGAACGGGUGAGUAAUGCAUCGGAACGUGCCCAGUAGUGGGGGAUAGCCCGGCGAAAGCCGGAUUAAUACCGCAUACGACCGGAGGGGGAAAGGGGGGGAUCGCAAGACGUCUCGCUAUUGGAGCGGCCGAUGUCAGAUUAGCUAGUUGUGGGGGUAAAGGCCUACCAAGGCAACGAUCUGUAGGUGGUCUGAGAGGACGACCAGCCACACUGGGACUGCGACACGGCCCAGACUCCUACGGGAGGCAGCAGUGGGGAAUUUUGGACAAUGGGCGCAAGCCUGAUCCAGCCAUGCCGCGUGCAGGAAGAAGGCCUUCGGGUUGUAAACUGCUUUUGUCAGGGAAGAAAUCUUCUGGGUUAAUACCUCGGGAGGAUGACGGUACCUGAAGAAUAAGCACCGGCUAACUACGUGCCAGCAGCCGCAGUAAUAC